AGCGAACGCUGGCGGCAGGCUUAACACAUGCAAGUCGAGCGCCCGUAGCAAUACGGGAGCGGCAGACGGGAGAGUAACACGUGGGAACGUACCUUUUGGUUCGGAACAACUGAGGGAAACUUACAGCUAAUACCGGAUAAGCCCUUACCGGGGAAAGGAUUUAUUCGCCAAAAGAAUCGGCCCGCGUCUGAUUAGCUAGUUGGUGAGGUAAUGGCUCACCAAGGCGACGAUCAGUAGCUGGCUGAGAGGAUGAUCAGCCUCACUGGGA
rnacentral:rRNA from 1 species